AGAUUCCACAUAUAAGUGAUAUCAUGAGAUAUCUGUCUUUCUGUCUGACUUACUUCACUUAGUAUGAUAAUCUCUAGGUCCACCAAUGUUGCUGCAAAUGGCAUUAUUUCAUCCUUUUUCUUAAUGGCUGAGUGGUAUUACAUUGUGUAUUUAUACCACAUCUUCUUUAUACAGUCAUCUGUCGAUGAACAUU